rnacentral:rRNA from 1 species
GACGAACGCUGGCGGCGUGCUUAACACAUGCAAGUUGAGCGGUAAGGCCCUUUCGGGGGUACACGAGCGGCGAACGGGUGAGUAACACGUGGGUGACCUGCCCUCAGCUCUGGGAUAAGCCUGGGAAACUGGGUCUAAUACCGGAUAUGACUCCAUGACGCAUGUUGUGGGGUGGAAAGCCUUGUGCGGCUGAGGAUGGGCCCGCGGCCUAUCAGCUUGUUGGUGGGGUGAUGGCCUACCAAGGCGACGACGGGUAGCCGGCCUGAGAGGGCGACCGGCCACACUGGGACUGAGACACGGCCCAGACUCCUACGGGAGGCAGCAGUGGGGAAUCUUGCGCAAUGGGCGAAAGCCUGACGCAGCGACGCCGCGUGAGGGAUGAC